CCUACGGGAGGCAGCAGUGGGGAAUAUUGCGCAAUGGGGGCAACCCUGACGCAGCAACGCCGCGUGCGGGAUGAAGGCUUUCGGGUUGUUAACCGCUUUCAGCAGGGAUGUCAUCGACAGUACCUGCAGAAGAAGCCCCGGCUAACUACGUGCCAGCAGCCGCGGUACUACGUAGGGGGCGAGGGUUAUCCGGAUUCAUUGGGCGUAAGGCGCGCGCAGGCGGGCUUGAAAGCGGGUCCUUUAAUUUUGGGGUGUAACCUCAAGUCGGGUUCCGGACUGCAAGCCUCGAGUGUGGUAGGGGAAGGCGGAAUUCCCGGUGUAGCGGUGGAAUGCGCAGAUAUCGGGAAGAACACCGAUAGCGAAGGCAGCCUUCUGGGCCACUACUGACGCUGAGGCGCGAAAGCUGGGGGAGCGAACAGGAUUAGAUACCCCAGUAGUC
rnacentral:rRNA from 1 species